AAUUAACUAAUUAGAAAUAUCAUAGUCAGAAGUCAUUUCGACGGAGAAACUUUGGGAAUUUAAUCUCACGGGGAAAUUUGGGGAAAUCUUGUGGUCACCUGAGGUAGUGUGAAGGCCCUUAAGAUACUGUUGCACAGUUCUUAUUGCUAUGAUUGUUAUGCUCACUAUGCAGUUUGACAUGAGGGCAUAUAAAAGAAACUCUGCUUGACAGCAAUCCAUAGCAAGGCAUCUUCGGAUGGAGACGAAUCCUAAAGGAAUAUGAGACACAGGAUAGAAAUUAAGUCUAGAAAAACUUGCUUUUGAACUGUUAUAUUUGAUGAGAAACUUACUAACGUGUUCACAACUCAUCUGUUGGUAAUGCAUGGUACUCGUAUAGGUAGGCAGUAAACAUGAUCAUUCAUCCAUCCAUCUAGGGAAUUCUUGACGAGUUGAUCUCGAUCUAGGGAUUGGUGUGAAGUGACUGAGCAAAUUAAUUAGGCUUCUCUUUUAUCUGUAAUCCACCGACCACAUGACGUCUGCUCCAAUUUACAAAAACGAAUCAGUCAGAAUCUUUGAUUUGUAUUGAACAAUGACAAUACGAUUUCAAAUUAAUGUUUUGCUUCUUUUCUCUUUCUCUCUUCCUACAGCUAGAUUAGCCUAAUUCUUCCUUUCGAUUUUAUCAAUAUUUUUAGGAUCAGUAUAAAAUGAUUUGAUUGGCUGUCUCCAUAUAGUCAACUGAUUCUAUAAAAUCCGGCUACCAUUUAUAAUGGACCUUUUCAAUUCUAAAUUAAUAUUUAUCCGUUCUAAAUGCUCAAUAAAUUUUUCUGGAAAUAAUUGGCGUUUUAUUUCCAUUUAUACACA
rnacentral:lncRNA from 1 species